rnacentral:lncRNA from 1 species
AUGGGAGAACUUAAGAAACUAGUUGAAGAAGGUAAAGUAAAGUAUAUAGGUUUAUCUGAGGCUUCUGCUUCGACAAUUAGAAGGGCACAUGCUGUUCAUCCAAUUACUGCUGUACAAUUGGAGUGGUCCUUGUGGUCUAGAGAUGUUGAGGCAGACAUCAUUCCUACUUGCAGGUUAUUUAUCCAUAAGACCAACAAAUUUCUUUUUUUUUUGAAAAUUUCUGAUUUGGAAUUCUUAUUUGAUGUGAUUCCUUUUAAUUUCUUAGGGAACUUGGGAUUGGGAUUGUCGCUUACAGCCCUCUGGGGAGAGGAUUCUUUUCAUCAGGGCCUAAAAUAGUGGAAACUUUUUCCAAUGAUGACUUCAGAAAGGUUUGUAGCUACUUUUCACAUUUGGAUACUUGUUCAUAAGCCAUGAUUAUCUGUUAUUUUAGGCAUAUUAAAUUUAAUGGUAUUAGCCAACAGCUGGGUGCCUAUUGGUAGAGUGCUUACUCUUAGUUCCAGUAGCCGUGUGCCUGAUGGUCUAAAAUAUUAAAAAAAAAUUAGGGUAUUCUAGAUUUUCAACUCUAGCCUAAGUCAGCAUCAGAGGUUGCUGACAAGACAAGAGUAUUUACAUAUGAGAGCCAAAUAAUUUUUAUGCUUAAGUUGUUCUGCAACAUUUUCCUCUUUGUUAGCUUACUCUGUAAUGAAAGCCACCCAAUUUUAGUCUCUUAAGUGCCUCAAUGCUAGCAAUCUAGUUCUUUCCAAUUUAGUGGGUGUCUCAUGUGAAUUGGUUUUAAUUAAAUGUCAGUGUUUACUGUCUAAGUGUAUAUUAUCCAACUGUGCAGUACAGUAAGGGAGGACUAGUUAAGAAUUGAAGUUUGAAAAUGUUCAUAAUCUUUUUCCCUAUUGUGUCAUAUCCACUACCAUUAUAUAGUGAAGUCAUAUGCAUCCCGCAACUUUCAAGUGAAAUAGUAUGCAGGCAUGUUAAGCUUCAAAUCACCUUUAAUAACAGAGGGCUGACUAUACCUUUAUGUCCUUCCCUUGGGUUUUGCUAGACUGCAAGUGUCUCUUGUGAGCCAUUGAUUAAUAUCCGUUACUUCUCACUUAGCAGCGGUUUACAAUCAUCUAAUGCAUCUUUUAAUGAAAAACUUCAGGGAAGUUUGUAGUGGAGAUUUGUUUACUUCAGUUGAGAUCAGAGUCACAGAUGAGACAUCUGUUACUUGUAUUUGAGAAUUCUGUAUCAAAUGAACCAAGUGAUGUAUAAAUUAGGUAACGAGCAUUAGUCCUAUCUUUUUUUAGUACAAAGGAGGCCGCAGCCUGGGGAUAGGGAAAGAGGUUGCAGACACUGGAAUUUGAAUCCUAAACCUGCUGGAUGUUACUCUUAAGGGCAGUUGCAUGAACCAACUUAACUAAGCUCCAGGUUACAUUAGUCUUAAUUUUAGCAAUUGAAGUUAAUGACUGAACUCUGGAGUACAUGAAUAUACUUUUAAGGAACUGCAUGGUUAAUUGUUUGUUAAAAAAUUAGUACCCCAUUUAAAUCUUUCUGAAAUAGGCAUUUAGCCUUCUAUUUAAAUCAAAUCUGAGGAUAUGAGAUCUUUUCUGUAUUUGGGCAAUUAAAUGAGGUCCAUUUUGACAACCAUUGAUGGCAUGAAUUGUCAAACACUUUUUGAAAUGCCUUGAAUCCUAAAUCUGUAUUAUUUGCAGAAAGUAAUGGUCUGCUGCAGAUCAUCUUUAUUUUUCAUGACAAUCAUGUGAAUGGAUUUUCAAUUGUCACAGUAUCUACCGAGGUUCCAACCUGAAAAUCUUGAGCACAACAGACGUCUUUAUGAGCGAGUUAAUGAGAUAGCAGCAAAGAAGGGGUGCACCCCAUCGCAGCUUGCAUUGGCAUGGGUUCAUCACCAAGGGAAUGAUGUCUGUCCCAUUCCUGGAACCACCAAAACUGAAAACUUCAACCAGAACAUUGGAGCUUUGUCCGUAAAAUUAACACCUGAAGAGAUGACUGAGCUAGAAUCUAUUGCUUCAGCAGAUGCUGUGAAGGGAGACAGAUACGGUGGAACUAUCGCUACGUACCAUGAAUCUGAAACUCCUCCCUUGUCUUCAUGGAAACCUGAAUGAUGAGGGCAAGCUACCAAAUUGUCUCUACUUUGUUUUCAGAGAAUAAGUGUUGUAUCAGAAGUAUCCAUAGGUCUUCUGAUGAGAGAUUGCAAACUUGGUAGUAGCUAUCCAGGUUUGUCAUGUUGAGAUUGUGUAUUCCAUGGUAAUGAAGCAAAAGGUUCUGAAAUAAGCUAUCAAUGCAUGAUUUCAGAUUUCCAACAUUAGGUUUUUGUGCACUGCAUGAUUCCUUUGACAAACGAAAAAAAAAAAGGCAAAAUCUUGCUCCAAUAUUUCAAUGAUUUAACUAUACUCUCAUGCUUUCUUCUCUUUUAAAUUCGUUUGACUUCCUAGUUCCUAUCAUCAAAAGUCUGCUCAAACAUUGGGAAAAUUUGAAAGCUGGUAUGGGCCAACUGAGAAUGAAGACAUUAAGUUGAUGAAGAAAUCUACCCAGCCUUGAAUCAGAGAAGAGUAAAGGAAGAAGAAGAAAAGAGAAAGUAUAGAGAGAAAUAUUGUAUUAUGUUGUAUGAAUUUUCAGAAUGCCUACAACCAUCGUCUCCUCCCUUCUAAAAACCUUGAACAGACCAUGACAUCAGCAAUAUGACAUCAGCUUUUUAACUAAUCUAGUUGUGAUAUAACUAAUCCGGACAUACACUGAUUUUAACUAAUAUUUGAAAUAAUCCUAAUUAUUGGACUGGACUCAACUACUGACCUUACACUUCAUAGGCCCAUCUAUAUACUUUGGCCCGUAACAAUACAACCCCCCUGGAAAGGAUCAAAGGAAGGGAAUUUCUGUUGUAGAUCAGAUAAGACUUUCCAAGAAGCAGCUUCUAGAUGUAAUUAAUCCAUAACACCAGUACUAUAGUGACCAGUCUGCUUCUCAUUUUGUUCAUAAGUCUGUCCAAAAUUGCCACCGGUUCCUUCGCUAUGGCACCAACAACAUCUAAAUAAGGCAAUUGUGACUGCACCGGCUCUUUUCCCACAUGUUUCUUGAUUUGUAACUCAUGCAAGAUUGGUUGAAUGCAAGCAUUUGCUGGAAAUCCUAGCUUGUAAAUCACAAGUCUAGCUUACACCUUGAAUUGGACGAGGAACUUUGCAGAAAAAAAUUGGACAAUCUCAGAUGCAACACGAACGGUCCUUAGAGCGGAAUUUUACACAUGCAGGAAACAUGUUUCUUAGUGCAACACCCUGAAAUAAUAUCAAAUUUUGAUUUGAAGCAUUUUUGCAAAAAAUCAACUUCGAAAAAAAUUAAAUUAUAAAAAUACGCUUAAAAGAUAUUUUGAUAAUUUUACACCUUUAAAAGUGCAAUCAAGGUUUUUAAUAUAUCAAAAAUCAUGAAAUAAUAUCAAAACAUGAUUUGAAGUUUUUUACGAAAUACCAACCUCGAAAAAUCAAAUUAUGAAAAUACUUUUAAAGGUUAUUUUGGUAGUUUCACACUUUUUAAGAUGCGAUAAGGGUUUUAAUAUAUCAAAAAUCAUGAAAUAAUAUCAAAAUAUGAUCUAAAACUUUUUAUAAAAAUACUCUUAAAGGAUAUUUUGAUAAUUUCAUACUUUAUGAGUUGCGAUUAAAGUUUUUAACGUAAAAAAUUAUUAAAUAAUACCAAAACAUGAUCUAAAAAAGAUCAAAUUAUAAAAAUACCUCUAAAAAAUAUUUUGAUAAUUUCACACAUUUCGAGUUAUAACCAUGACUUUUAGUGCAUCAAAAUCAUAAAUUAUUAAUCUCAAAUUUUAAAAAUCCUAUUUGGUUAUGAGUUCCAAGGAUUAACUCUAAUUUGAUCGAGUUUGACUAUUAUUGACUGGAUUUGAUUAAAGGAUAUUCAAGUCAAUUUGAUCCAUAAUUUAGUUUUGAUAAUUUAUCAAUAUUAAAGAAAUAUUAGAUUUAAAUAAUUUGAAUUUUAAACGCUUCAUAUUUGGCUAGAAUUUGCUCAAAAAAAAUUAAAUAUUAACAACCAAUAAAUGGACUAAUGAUAUUAGUCUAAUGUUUUAAAGUGAUAAUAGAAUGAAAGUUUGAGUGUCAAAUUAAUAAUUUUAUUUUUUUUGAUAUCAAAUUGAUAGAAAAAUAUAUAAUUAAAUAAUUUUUUAUAUUUACUCAUAAAAAAUAAACAAUAACAAUUAAAUAAGGAUUAAAAAAGAAAAGAAAUGAUACAUAGGAGGGUACCUCAGUUUUUUCCUUGCUUUUUUACUUUUAACGCUCUUUGUUAAUCUUUACUCUUUACCAACUUUGACCAACACUUCAUCAAUCAUUGUCCCAUCAAUUUUUAUUUUUUUUAUUUUUUUCACAUGCAAAAGACAAUAAAUUAAAACAAAUAAAAAAAAUUAAAAAUAAAAAAAAAUAAAAAAAUGCCAAAAAAAAAAAAAAAGUGAGUGCCAUUAGACACUCCCAAUGCACUUCGUUCUUUACAAAUUUUAUAUUAUGAAUUUUUAAGAUUUCAAUUUUGAAAGAAAUUUUCAACAUAACUUUAUAAAACCAAUGUGUUAGGUUUUGGCCAAAAGAAAAAUCCAAUGUUAGAUGCAAUCCUAAUAUCCUUUUAAUGGUAUUUGUUGCUUCUAAAUAUUUUAUUAUAAAAUUCAUUUAAGCAUCACUUGUUAUUUUAUAGUUAUAAAAAUAAUUAUUUUUUUCAUUUAACAUAAAUGAUGGGUGUAAUAAGAAAUUAAUAAUGUUCAAGAAAUUAUAAUUUCUAUUAAUCAUAAUUAAUUAGUAAUGUUUUUUAAUUUGAUUUUUCCUUGACAGGUGAACUAAUUAAUUUUGAGAUUAAGUAUAAUUUUAUUUUACAUAAAAAGUCAUAUUAUGGAGAUUGAGAAAAAAAUUGUGUUAAAAUUUGAAUUUUAAUUUUUUGUCAAUAAUUUAGACUUAUUAAAUUUUACUUUCUAAAUAUAAAUAUAUAAAUUAGUCGAACUAAAUCUCGGAUUCAAAUUUAGUGCAAUGUUAAUGACCUCUCUAUUAAUAUUUGGUGUUCUUUUGAUAAACAAAUAUUUAUUUUACCAUAAUUUUUACUUUUUAAGAAAAGAGAAAAAAAUGGUGAUGUUGAGUUGUUGACAUCUUAUGUAAAAGCUUUUUACAUAAUUUACUUACGUAGGAAAGAAAUUUUCAAAAACUUUUUAUAACAUUCAUAAAUUACUUAAGUUUUCUUAUAAAAUUCAUAAAUGUAGCAAAGAAUUUAAUGUUGGAAAUAUUGACUCAAAUCCCAUAAGAGAUUUGUUUGAGAUUUAUCUGAGAUUUGUCAAAUAUUGCUUGAUGAACAAAAAGACUUACAAAAGAAGAAUUCUAAGAGAAAGGGUUUGACUUGCAAGAUAAAAAUUCUAAAAGGAAAGGGAUUUUUAAUAGGCAAAUUUGACUUACAGGAGAAAAAUUCUAAGAAGAGAGGGAUUCUUAAUGGGCAAGUUUGUAUGGUUAUAAAUAGAUAAAGUUUUUACAAGAUUAGGUAUGAGAAAAAGAUGUAAGAGAGUUGUAGAGUUUUAUGGGAUAGACACCCCAUAGGAAUAUUGGAGCUCUGUGUGUAUGUUUAUUUGUGAGUAGACUAGAGGAGACUGAGAGGGUCCACAUAGGUAUGAUGUAUGAGAGCAUAUAGGUAUGUGUUUGGAUAUGUUGAAAGGGUGCAUAAGGGUUUGAGUUUGUGUUUGUUUGGGUUGAAAAUACUUCGUAGGACUAGAGGAGAUUGAAAGUGUCUUAUGAGUAUUGAUUGUUGAGUGAGGUUGAUGAUAUGAUGUAUGUUUGUAAUUCUCUACAACUAAUGGAGCUUGUUUUUCACCCGUGGAUGUAGGUUAGUUGGACCGAACCACGUUAAAUUAUUGUCUCUUGUAUGUUUGAUUUAUUGUUUGAUUUUAUUUCCGCUAAUGUGAUUGGAUUGAAAGCUUUUAGUCCAACAUUUAAAAAAAAAAAAACUUUAAAUACUAAGUUGUAAGGUCUUAUUUGACUUUGUUUAUAAUUUUCUUGAAUAUUACAAUAAUAUACGCAAUCAUUAAUCUGUAUAACAUAUGCCCUUACGUCAUGCCCUUACCUUCCCCAGCCACUACUUAACAGUGCUGAAACCUCCAUCCUCAACACCACAAAUCCGGAUAGCUAAUCGCUUCACACUCAACCAUCAGUGAAACAUGGCAACUGAAAAAGUUGGGAGGAUCAAGUUGUGUUCUCAGGGCCUGGAAGUGUCAGCUCAAGGCCUUGGAUGCAUGGGGAUGUCAGCUUUCUAUGGUCCUCCAAAGCCUGAAGCUGACAUGAUUGCUCUAAUCCACCAUGCUAUCAACUCCGGGGUUACCUUUCUUGAUACUUCUGAUGUUUAUGGUCCCCAUACCAAUGAAAUCCUUAUUGGUAAGGCCUUGAAAGAUUGUUAAGAGACAGGGUUGAAUUGGCUACUAAGUUUGGUAUAGACUAUACUGAUGGCAAGAGGAAAUCCGUGGUGACCCUGCUUAUGUCAGAGCGGCCUGUGAAGGUAGCUUGAAGCGUCUUGGUGUUGAUUGUAUCGAUCUUUAUUACCAGCAUCGGGAUUGAUACCAGGGUUCCCAUUGAAGUCACGGUUUGUUUUUUGUUUUGACUUUUGUCCCCUUGCUUUUUUCUUCUUAUUCUUUUAUUGAUUGUUGCUUUUUUUUUUUUUCACCCAGAUGGAGAACUUAAGAAACUAGUUGAAGAAGGUAAAGUAAAGUAUAUAGGUUUAUCUGAGGCUUCUGCUUCGACAAUUAGAAGGGCACAUGCUGUUCAUCCAAUUACUGCUGUACAAUUGGAGUGGUCCUUGUGGUCUAGAGAUGUUGAGGCAGACAUCAUUCCUACUUGCAGGUUAUUUAUCCAUAAGACCAACAAAUUUCUUUUUUUUUUGAAAUUUUCUGAUUUGGAAUUCUUAUUUGAUGUGAUUCCUUUUAAUUUCUUAGGGAACUUGGGAUUGGGAUUGUUGCUUACAGCCCUCUGGGGAGAGGAUUCUUUUCAUCAGGGCCUAAAAUAGUGGAAACUUUGUCCAAUGAUGACUUCAGAAAGGUUUGUAGCUACUUUUCACAUUUGGAUACUUGUUCAUAAGCCAUGAUUAUCUGUUGUUUUAGGCAUAUUAAAUUUAAUGGUAUUAGCCAACAGCUGGGUGCCUAUUGGUAGGGUGCUUACUCUUAGUUCCAGUAGCCGUGUGCCUGAUGGUCUAAAAUAUUCAAAAAAAAUUAGGGUAUUCUAGAUUUUCAACUCUAGCCUAAGUCAGCAUCGGAGGUUGCUGACAAGACAAGAGUAUUUACAUAUGAGAGCCAAAUAAUUUUUAUGCUUAAGUUGUUCUGCAACAUUUUCCUCUUUGUUAGCUUACUCUGUAAUGAAAACAACCCAAUUUUAGUCUCUUAAGUGCCUCAAUGCUAGCAAUCUUGUUCUUUCCAAUUUAGUGGGAGUAUCAUGUGAAUUGGGUGUUUACUGUCCAAGUGUAUAUUAUCCAACUGUGCAGUACAGUAAGGGUGGACUAGUUAAGAAUUGAAGUUUGAAAAUGUUCAUAAUCUUUUUCCCUAUUGUGUCAUAUCCACUACCAUUAUAUAGUGAAGUCAUAUGCAUCACGCAACUUUCAAGUGAAAUAGUAUGCAGGCAUGUUAAGCUUCAAAUCACCUUUAAUAACAGAGGGCUGACUAUACCUUUAUGUCCUUCCCUUGAGUUUUGCUAGACUGCAAGUGUCUCUUGUGAGCCAUUGAUUAAUAUCCUUUACUUCUCACUUAGCAGCGGUUUACAAUCAUCUAAUGCAUCUUUUAAUGAAAAACUUCAGGGAAGUUUGUAGUGGAGAUUUGUUUACUUCAGUUGAGAUCAGAGUCACAGAUGAGACAUCUGUUACUUGUAUUUGAGAAUUCUGUAUCAAAUGAACCAAGUGAUGUAUAAAUUAGGUAACGAGCAUUAGUCCUAUCUUUUUUUAGUACAAAGGAGGCCGCAGCCUGGGGAUAGGGAAAGAGGUUGCAGACACUGGAAUUUGAAUCCUAAACCUGCUGGAUGUUACUCUUAAGGGCAGUUGCAUGAACCAACUUAACUAAGCUCCAGGUUACAUUAGUCUUAAUUUUAACAAUUGAAGUUAAUGACUGAACUCUGGAGUACAUGAAUAUACUUUUAAGGAGCUGCAUGGUUAAUUGUUUGUUACAAAAUUAGUACCCCAUUUAAAUCUUUCUGAAAUAGGCAUUUAGUCUUCUAUUUAAAUCAAAUCUGAGGAUAUGAGAUCUUUUCUGUAUUUGGGCAAUUAAAUGAGGUCCAUUUUGACAACCAUUGAUGGCAUGAAUUGUCAAACACUUUUUGAAAUGCCUUGAAUCCUAAAUCUGUAUUAUUUGCAGAAAGUAAUGGUCUGCUGCAGAUCAUCUUUAUUUUUCAUGACAAUCAUGUGAAUGGAUUUUCAAUUGUCACAGUAUCUACCGAGGUUCCAACCUGAAAAUCUUGAGCACAACAGACGUCUUUAUGAGCGAGUUAAUGAGAUAGCAGCAAAGAAGGGGUGCACCCCAUCACAGCUUGCAUUGGCAUGGGUUCAUCACCAAGGGAAUGAUGUCUGUCCCAUUCCUGGAACCACCAAAACUGAAAACUUCAACCAGAACAUUGGAGCUUUGUCCGUAAAAUUAACACCUGAAGAGAUGACUGAGCUAGAAUCUAUUGCUUCAGCAGAUGCUGUGAAGGGAGACAGAUACGGUGGAACCAUCGCUACGUACCAUGAAUCUGAAACUCCUCCCUUGUCUUCAUGGAAACCUGAAUGAUGAGGGCAAGCUACCAAAUUGUCUCUACUUUGUUUUCAGAGAAUAAGUGUUGUAUCAGAAGUAUCCAUAGGUCUUCUGAUGAGAGAUUGCAAACUUGGUAGUAGCUAUCCAGGUUUG